rnacentral:rRNA from 1 species
UACGGAGGAUGCGAGCGUUAUCCGGAUUUAUUGGGUUUAAAGGGUGCGUAGGCGGGCUUUUAAGUCAGCGGUAAAAAUUCGGGGCUCAACCCCGUCCGGCCGUUGAAACUGGGGGCCUUGAGUGGGCGAGAAGAAGGCGGAAUGCGUGGUGUAGCGGUGAAAUGCAUAGAUAUCACGCAGAACCCCGAUUGCGAAGGCAGCCUUCCGGCGCCCUACUGACGCUGAGGCACGAAAGUGCGGGGGUCGAACAGG